CAUAUACAUACAUAAUAUCAGAUUGUAGCCAUAUUUCUGCUAGAUUUUCUGCUAGAUUUCUGCUUUAAUUUGAUAAAACAAAUUAUUUAUGCCCUGCCCCUAUUUAAAUACACUCUCUCAAAUAUUUCUCAAAUGUCAGGCAGAUGACAAGCUCAACUGCUCAACAGCUAGAUGGUUAUCUGUCUGAAGUCCCCAUCCCCAGAAGUGAUAACAGUCUUGCCUACUGGAGAAAUAUUACAGUGCAAGACCACAGAGGACAUGGAAGACAUCAAAAGAGAACUGGGAGACUUUAUUGCUGAAUGUGGGAUCCCAAAUGUGUUCUCUGCAGCAGUGGCUGAUAUUCCAUCAAUUUAUGAACAAGUUAUCAGCCACUACUUGUAACACAGAUAAAGAGCUAGACAUUACCUUUGGAGAAAUUCUGAUCUUCGCAACGGGAGCUGAUUCUGUACCCCCUCUUGGUUUUCCACAAGAGUGUGAGAUCCAGUUCUACGAUCAAGAGCCAGGAAGCCGGCAGAUUCCAUACUCCUCAACCUGUGCCCUUGUUCUGUUUUUGCCAAGAGGUAUUACAGAAGAAGCUGAUUUUAAAGACCUCAUGCAGCUGGCCUUAAAAUGCUCUUUUGGAUUUGGAAAGGCUUAAUGGGUUAGUUCAUCAAAAAACUAAAAUUAUGUUAU